rnacentral:rRNA from 1 species
AUGUAGUCACAUAUUACGCCGAAUACACUAGUUCUCAUCCAAUCACUGAAGUUAAGCAUCGUCGGACCCGAUUAGUGCUUGAAUGGGUGAUCGCCUGGGAACCCUAGGGUGCAGUUGGCAUU